AACACAUCGUCCAGCCACCACCAAAUGACGUCAUAUCACAAUACACCACGAACGACUUUUCUUCGCCAUCACCCUCUGGGUCUAUCAUAUAUUCUCCAUCUCCGUAGCUUAAACCUUUAUUCAGGAUGUCAAGACAACUUGAGCCUGCAAAAAAGCAACAUUUGCCAUCGGUGAAACACAAGAAUUAGGGACCGGUCCUUAUUUAUGGCGGGGGGUGGCACCGAAGAGAAAAGGGUUGGGUAAACAAAAUUUUGAGUAAGUAAAAGGUUGGG